GCAUGGUCGUUCCUUACGUCUCAUCUCCAGACUUUGUCUCUGUAAUUCCUUCCAUGGGUAUUUUGUUCUACUGGGGACUUUCUUGCUUUUCCCCCUCCAGUGUGUUGUGUCUAGAGUCUAGAGUGAAGUUUCAGGCAUCUCUCACUGGCCAAGAGCUUACCAACUAAGCUGGCUGACCAGUAAAGCCCCAGAUGUCAAACCACCAUGGUGGUUUUGUUUUGUUUGUAGGUAGGCUAUUGAGUUCAAGUCUUUAUGGUUGUGUGCAAAUACUUCAGAGACUGAACAAUCUCCAGUGCCUCUCUGUCUGUCUGUAUGUCUGUCUAUCUAUCUUUGUAGCUGGCUAUUUUUUGUUUGUUGCUUAUUUGCACUUUUAUGGUAAAACAUGCUAUAAAAAUGAGUGUGUGACUAUAGAGUUCACUGGUGAUAAGUACAUCCAUACUGUUUUGUAGCUAUUACCACCCACUAUGUCUAGAGCUUUUCAUCAUUCAAACUUACAUUCCUGCUCAGUUAGGAAACGUUGGUUCUUCAUUCCUCCAUUCCCCACUCCCUAACCACAACACUUAUGUAUUUCGUCUUUGAGUUUGAUUACACUGUUUACCUCAGAUAAGUGGGGCCUAAAGUAUUUGUCUUCUUGUAACAGGUUCAGGUGUAAUGUUGUCUGGAUUCAUGUGUAACUUUACUUUUCAAGCUGAUAUAAAUCAUUGUGUGGAUGUGCCACUGUUAGCCAUUAUUAGCUUACCCUGGAUGUCCAGCUUACUUUUCACCAUUCAGCUAUUGCACAUAGUGUUGCCAUGAACCAAGAGUGUGUACACACAGAGACAAAGCUGUUUGAGCCAUUGCUUUUACUCAGAAGUAGAAUUUUGCUAGGACUGUUUUACUUCAAAACUUUGAUUCUUUGGCAAAUUUGUGUUGCCAUUUAAUGUUAAAAUUGCUAAGAAUAAAAUAAUCAAGAAAAAUGUAUUUCUGUUCCAUGUAUUAUAUAAACACCAGUAUAGAUGACAGUAAUCUUAAAGAUUACAUUCAUUUUCCAAAAUAUUGCUUUCCACCUUGUUAAUGAAGCUAUUGAAAGGAAAAUUGAGAAAACAAUGUAGAAAGGGAUCAUCUGUAUACUACUAUAUGACAGAACAGUGCUUAUUUUGGUAUUUUAAAGUAGUAUUUUAUAUUGACUAAAAUAUUUAUUAUUAUCCUAGUGGAAUAUCUACAUAUGAUUAUAUACAGUGUAUUGCAUCAGAAAGCAAAGUUAGUUAUUCACUGAUUGAUUUUUUUUCCCCUUCAGAUGUAUAACUGCUUUUAUAUUCAUACAUGUAGAUGCAUAUAAAUGGGACAAUACUAUGGCUAUAUAUUUUCCCUUUUUCUUUUUAUGAAAGGAAGACCUCUAAGUGAUUGUCUAAAACAUUGUUAUUAAAUAAUAUUAAGAACAAAGGAUGUUAGUUACAUAAUUAUUUUAUCUUUGCGAUUUUAUUGUAUUUUUACAGGGUUUCUUAAAUCUCAGGCUGGUCAUUAAUUUUGUUGUGUGGUUGAGGGUGGUCAUGAACUUCUGUUAUUCUUGCUUCUGCCUUCCAAGUGCUAGAAUUACCAUUGUACACCAUCACAGCUGGCUUUUGGAGUGCUGCUAAUCAAACUCAGGCCUUAGUGCAUGCUAGGCAAACAUUCUAUGGAUUGCGCUAUAUCCACAGUACCCAUAAUUAAUUGAAAGUACUGACUAUACUAGACUUGAGUCAUUUGAUUUGAAUUUUAAGUGUUUAAAAACCUUGUAAGUAAUAACAUAGUAUGUUGUUUGCAUUUUUGAGGGCUUUUUGUAAUUUCACUUUUAGCUAUUUUAUGGGUUUCCUUCUCUACCCUUACUCCUUCCCCAACACUAGGUAGUAGAGAAAGAAGGCUAUAGGGUAAAGGGGGCAUUGAUCUUUGACUUCUGAUUAGGGCCCUGAGUUCCUUGGGUCAGUGUUUAUUUUCUGUGGCAGGAUAUCUCCAACCAGCAAACAGCAACAACCAGCAGAGUCCCCAGAAUUCUAAAUGUCACAUGCUCUC
rnacentral:lncRNA from 1 species